rnacentral:rRNA from 1 species
CUACGGGUCGCUGCAGUGGGGAAUAUUAGACAAUGGGCGAAAGCCUGAUCUAGCAAUACCACGUGAGUGAUGAAGGCCUUCGGGUUGUAAAGCUCUUUUAACAGGGAAGAUAAUGACGGUACCUGUAGAAAAAGCACCGGCUAACUCCGUGCCAGCAGCCGCGGUAAGGCGGAGGGUGCUAGCGUUAUUCGGAAUUAUUGGGCGUAAAGCGUGCGUAGGCGGUUUAGUAAGUUGGUUGUGAAAUCCCGGGGCUUAACCUCGGAACUGUGAUCAAAACUGCUAGACUAGAGGAUGGUAUGCGGUGACGGAAUUUCUAGUGUAGGGGUGGAAUCCGUAGAUAUUAGAAAGAACACCGGAGGCGAAGGCGGUUACCUAGACCAUAUCUGACGCUAAGGCACGAAGGCGUGGGGAGCAAACAGGAUUAGAUACCCCGGUAGUC